AGUAGCAUGCGCUAAUGUUUAUGGUGGAUGUAUAUAUGUAUCGCUGUGGCUCGCAGAGAUUUUUUCCUUCAACAGUACCAGUUUGACUCAGAAUCGGAUCCAGAAGGAGAGGCUUCUGAAGAAGUACAGACUCUGUGGAUGCAGCAGGACGUUUCAGAAUGAGGAAACAAAGUGUUGUGUCAAGCAACACUAGCCCUCCUGUUGCAUGAAGAGAUUAAUAUUGUCACGUCUGUCCUCAUAUCUCACAUCCGAUGGAAGGCCAAGCGAAAGAGGUGACCAGGCAGGACAGUUGUCGUGCAGUGAAGAGGAUAUGUUUUCAAAUGGACAAGGAUUGCUUUUGUUUUUGGAGCCCUGAGGCAUGGCAGCUAUGUCUGAGUUGAGUAUGUCAGACUUUAGAUUCCACUGAAACUGAGAUUUGUCUGUGCAGUGGAGUGGAGUUAAAAAAAUAACACACACACACGGGCUGCGUCUAUGUGUGUAUGUGGUACAGUGCACAGCCUCUCUGUGUUGCAUGUUUUGAAUAGUGCCUGACAGUAUCGUGUAAUGGUGUCCUAACAUGAAUAUUCUCUUUUCCUUGUUUAUUGUUCUGCAUGAUUCUAAAUAAGCUUGAUAUGUUUUGUAAUUCAGUUUUAGGGUGACUGCAACAUCUGUCCGGGGACCACAGAGAAACGGCCUGCUGGCUAACAUCAUAAUUAAUGUUGCUCCAGGACCAUCAUUGCAACUAACCAAUAGUGUUGUUUUGAUGGCAGAGCUUUGCGACUCCUGUUGGUGUUGCUCCUGGAACAUGAUGAUUAAUGUCGGACCAGGACCAUCACUGCAACCGAACAAAGCAUAAAAGGAGGGAAUAAGUCUUAAGUGGAAAAACUGGCCAAACCUGGCAGAGGUGGUGGGUGUCCUGUCACGCUACACAACACGUAGAGAGGGUCUGAUCAGCUUUCACACCGGGAACCCUGCUGCACUGCAGGGCAAACACUGAAACUUGACAGCGUGGGCGCACGAACCUGCAAAUGAUAUCUGCAGGGGUUUGGACUGGAAUAUUGUCAAUGAGAGAGAGCGAGAAGAAGAGUAUGAGAGGCUCAGAGCCGUAGUCGACGCCUGAUCUUCUGGAUGCUGCAGGAUGAGAGCUCUGCUAAGAGAUGAGACUGGAACAGAAAGGGGGCAAAAAUGUUAAUUUUCCACUCACGGCCGAGACAGUAGGCUUUAUAUAUAUUCUACUGCUUUAAAUAUUAAUGUAUGGCUGGAACAAGCAGUUUGAGGCAGUACGAUUCAGAAUUAGACAAGAUUAGGCGGCUGCUAAGGGGCAUGUUUAAGAACAGAUGAAGGAAUUCAGCACUUUUAGGUGUUUCAAGCUGUAAAUGCUCACACUGUGCCUCUGAUGAGAUCACAGCCGGGUGAUAAGAUAUGUUGUAACUUUUGAAAUAAUAUAAAGGACACUUCUCUUUGAUUACGCAGUCAGGAGUCUGGCAAGGUAAAACUUUGAUUUGAGGUUAUUAUGUCCCAUCGCUCUCUUCUUUCAAGCAUCUGCUGUACUUAAGGGGUAAAUCGGUAUCUAUUGGUCCUUUGGGGUGAAUAAAUUGA